AUUGAACGCUGGCGGCAUGCUUUACACAUGCAAGUCGAACGGUAACAGGCCGCAAGGUGCUGACGAGUGGCGAACGGGUGAGUAAUGCAUCGGAACGUGCCCAGUCGUGGGGGAUAACGCAGCGAAAGCUGUGCUAAUACCGCAUACGAUCUAUGGAUGAAAGCGGGGGACCGUAAGGCCUCGCGCGAUGGGAGCGGCCGAUGUCAGAUUAGGUAGUUGGUGGGGUAAAGGCCUACCAAGCCGACGAUCUGUAGCUGGUCUGAGAGGACGACCAGCCACACUGGGACUGAGACACGGCCCAGACUCCUACGGGAGGCAGCAGUGGGGAAUUUUGGACAAUGGGCGCAAGCCUGAUCCAGCAAUGCCGCGUGCAGGAAGAAGGCCUUCGGGUUGUAAACUGCUUUUGUACGGAACGAAACGGUCUGGGUUAAUACCCUGGGCUAAUGACGGUACCGUAAGAAUAAGCACCGGCUAACUACGUGCCAGCAGCCGCGGUAACAC
rnacentral:rRNA from 1 species